AAAGUGGAGCAAUCCAUGAGUAAAGUGGCGACCGGGUGAGUAACACGUGACUAACCUACCUCCGAGUGGGGAAUAACUCCGGGAAACCGGGGCUAAUACCGCAUAACAUCGCAAGAUCAAAGCAGCAAUGCGCUUGGAGAGGGGGUCGCGGCUGAUUAGCUAGUUGGCGGGGUAACGGCCCACCAAGGCGAAGAUCGGUAUCCGGCCUGAGAGGGCGCACGGACACACUGGAACUGAAACACGGUCCAGACUCCUACGGGAGGCAGCAGUGGGGAAUUUUGCGCAAUGGGGGAAACCCUGACGCAGCAACGCCGCGUGGAGGAUGAAGCCCCUUGGGGCGUAAACUCCUUUCGACCAAGACGAUAAUGACGGUACUGGUGGAAGAAGCACCGGCUAACUCUGUGCCAGCAGCCGCGGUAAUACAGAGGGUGCGAGCGUUGUUCGGAAUUAUUGGGCGUAAAGGGCGCGUAGGCGGUGCCACAAGUCACUUGUGAAAUCUCCGGGCUUAACUCGGAGCCUGCAGGCGAAACUGUGGUGCUGGAGUAUGGGAGAGGUGCGUGGAAUUCCCGGUGCAGCGGUGAAAUGCGUAGAUAUCGGGAGGAACACCUGUGGCGAAAGCGGCGCACUGGACCAUAACUGACGCUGAGGCGCGAAAGCUAGGGGAGCAAACAGGAUUAGAUACCCUGGUAGUCCUAGCCCUAAACGAUGAUUGCUUGGUGUAGCAGGUACCCAAUCCUGCUGUGCCGCAGCUAACGCGAUAAGCAAUCCGCCUGGGGAGUACGGUCGCAAGGCUGAAACUC
rnacentral:rRNA from 1 species